CCUACGGGUGGCAGCAGUGGGGAAUAUUGCACAAUGGGGGAAACCCUGAUGCAGCAACGCCGCGUGAGUGAGGAAGUAUUUCGGUAUGUAAAGCUCUAUCAGCAGGGAAUAGAAAAGAAGGUACCUGAAAAAGAAGCCCCGGCUAACUACGUGCCAGCAGCCGCGGUAAUACGAAGGGGGCAAGCGUUAUCCGGAUUUACUGGGUGGAAAGGGAGCGUAGGCGGCAAGGCAAGUCAGCAGGGAAAACCCAGGGCUCAACCAUGGGAAUGCUUUUGAAACUGUCAGACUAGAGUGCGGGAGAGGUAAGAAGAAUUCCUAGUGUAGCGGUGAAAUGCGUAGAUAUUAGGAGGAACACCAGUGGCGAAGGCGUCUUACUGGACCGAAACUGACGUUGAGGCUCGAAAGCGUGGGGAGCAAACAGGAUUAGAUACCCCUGUAGUC
rnacentral:rRNA from 1 species